ACACUCCCUCAGAGACUUGCCUGGCCCACCGAGGAAGUUGUUGCACACCUGGCAUCACCUCUUUGGGAAAGCCAAAAGGGGAGCUCAGGAAGCAAGGAACCAUUUUAAACAUCAGAGAAAGUGAAGAGCAGGAAUGAAAUCUACCUGACUAAACAAAGCCUGGCACAGAAAGCGCAGCCCUUGUAAGGGUUUGGCUCCCAUUCCGCCUUGACUCCUGCAACAGAGGGAUCCAAGGGAGAUUCAAGGUUUGUCAGACAGGACAGGCUCUUCAGGAGACAAGGACACCUCUCUGCAGCCUAU